UAUUGAGUAGUUUUAAGUUAUGCAUCAGUGGUUAUAUUUAUUGUAAGACUUUGUCAUGGCUCAGUGAGUUCUGAUAUAUUGGUUAUACAUGUAACUCUCUAGGUUUUACUAAUUUGUGUUAUGAAAACUCUGUUCUGUAUGAUAAUUGGUUAAUUAAGUCAUAUGUCCAUUUUUUGGAGGGAAAUUCUAUUGUUUGGUUAGAAUAGGAUUUAUUUUGAACUGAGAGAAAGUGUUAUGCUGUUAUAGUAUUCAUAAUUUGGUGGACACCUUCAUUUAAUUUUGAUAAAAACAUCAGGAUUAGAAAGCUGAUGUUUUAAUGAUCUGGUGAUCUGGUGUCGGUGAUGUUACCAAAUAAUCUGAUAAUAGGAGAUGGACAUUUGUAUAAAUAUACAUGGUAGAAGAUCAGUGUUUUCAUUUUUGUCGAGCCUGUCACUUUUGUUGCAGAAAGCUCGACAUAGGGAUAGUGCUAAGUGGCGACUGAAGAUUAUGUGAUAUUAGUAUGUAGAGAGAAGUUCAGAACAAGAUAUUGUUUGAAGAGGAAUCACAGGGGAAAAGAGCUCAACUUUUAAUGAAUCUUCUUAGUACAGCACUGAAUCAUGAGACAAUAAUUCAUAGUUGAUUGUUAUUACAAAGAGUGGAUGUAUCUGACUAGCAUUUGUAUAACAUGUAUCAUGAAGACUUACAAGGCAACAAAUCAGAUGUUACAAACACAUGUGUGUGCAUUUAAAGACAUGAAUAUAUGUAAAUGUUACUUUCUUCUUGUGAUUUGAAGAGAAUUUGUUUUAGAUACUAACUGUGUAUGAAUUGAUGGUUGUUUUAAUACUAUUUAUAAAUACAUGAUUGUAACCCUUAAUCAA